UUUCUCCGUCACAUAUCAAAAGAAUUGAAUACAGUGGAGGAAUUAUAAGAAGUUACAUUUUCAACUAUUACAAUCCAAUCGACGUUAUUCAUUCCACAUGCGAUUUACACGUUAUAAUACAUAUACAUACGUAAAUGUCGUAACGCAAGUAAAGCGUUUGU